CACAAGCAGCGGAGCGUGUGGUUUAAUUCGUUGCUACACGAAGAACCUUACCUGGGUUUGACAUAUAGGUUGUAGGGAACUGAAAAGGACGACCCUUCGGGAGCCUAUACAGGUGUUGCAUGGCUGUCGUCAGCUCGUGUCGUGAGAUGUUCGGUUAAGUCCGCUAACGAGCGCAACCCUCGCCGUAUGUUACAAGUGUCAUACGGGACUGCCGGUAAAAAGCCGGAGGAAGGUGAGGAUGAUGUCAAGUCAGCAUGACCUUUAUAUCCAGGGCUACACACACGCUACAAUGGUCUGUACAAUUGGUUGCCAAGCCGCGAGGCGGAGCCAAUCCGUAAAGCAGGCCUCAGUUCAGAUUGCAGUCUGCAACUCGACUGCAUGAAGCCGGAGUUGCUAGUAACCGCAGGUCAGCAAUACUGCGGUGAAUACGUUCCCGGGUCUU
rnacentral:rRNA from 1 species